rnacentral:SRP_RNA from 1 species
AGCUGGUAGUCCUCAUCGCCUGCGUGUUCGCAAUAUUCUUCUUCAUCAACUCGAUCACGGGGGCCCUCUACGGCAUCAACACCGAGGCCGUGUCAGAGGAGACACGGACGUUCGCCGCAGGCCUCACCG